UUGAUCCUGGCUCAGAAUCAACGCUGGCGGCGUGCCUCAGACAUGCAAGUCGAACGCGAAAGGCCCCUUCGGGGGCCGAGUAGAGUGGCGCACGGGUGAUUAACACGUAGGUAAUCUACCUCUGGGUGGGGAAUAACGACCGGAAACGGUCGCUAAUACCGCAUAAUGCAGCGGCACCACAUGGUGACAGUUGUUAAAGUGGGGGAUCGUAAGACCUCGCGCCUAGAGAUGAGCCUGCGGCGGAUUAGCUAGUUGGCAGGGUAACGGCCUACCAAGGCGACGAUCCGUAGCCGGCCUGAUAGGGCGGACGGCCACACUGGCACUGACAUACGGGCCAGACUCCUACGGGUGGCAGCAGUCGGGAAUUUUGGGCAAUGGGCGAAAGCCUGACCCAGCAACUCCGCGUGAAGGAUGAAGCUUCUCGGAGUGUAAACUUCAUAAGAAUGGGAUGAAUAAGGAGGGGUUAACACCCCCUUCGAUGACGGUACCAUUUGUAAGCUCCGGCUAACUCCGUGCCAGCAGCCGCGGUAAUAAGGU
rnacentral:rRNA from 1 species